UUUAAAAAAGAACAAACAUUAGUGUAAUAACUAUUAAGAUCAACAAACCAUAAUCUACAAAAACCUAAAUUAAUUGCCUAAUGAGUUCAUUGAUUGAUAUAAUCUUCAUGGGUACGUUUUGGCAUCGACUUUUUCCAAUUUCCUUUGCAACCUGCAAACAAAGAUACGAAGAAUAGAAAAUCUUUAAAUUAUACUUGCAACAACCAAUAAGUAUAAUUAAAACUAUAACCCUUACAAAAAAAUUGAGGAAAAAAAUUAGAACCAAUGUCAAACGAAAUGUAGAAAAUUUUGAGAAAAUGAACAUGAGUAUUAGAAAAAUAGUUAGAGCUAAUUAUCACAUGAGGAUAAGAUAUCUCUCACUAGUUGUGCAUAGAAACUUUAUAAUAAAAUUAUACAAAAUGUUUCAUCAGUAAUAAAAAAUAAAAAAAAAAUAAAAAAAUCUUCAAGAGCAAUAUAUUUCCAAAUAUGAUAUAACAUCGAAAAGUUAAAAAUUACAAAUCAUGAUACUUCAAAACAAAAUAGAAUAACUAAAAAAUGAUACAAACAAUUAACCUAAAUAAAUGUUCAACCAGUAUAGUAAACAUGAAAAUUUCAAAUAUACAAAGAAAAUAUCAAAUGAAUAAUUCUAGGAAUAAUUCAAGCCAAGAUAUGAAGGCACUCCAUAGAAGAGAAACUCUAACAAUUUGGAUUAUUUAACAAUUGCAAGAGCCAUAUUAAAUUGUCAUAUAGGAAAACCAGUUUGACGAAAAAUACAUAGUCAAUUUAAGUAUAAAUCACACUUGAAACACUAUUAUUGAGUGAUUGUUUACAAGUUUGCACUACAAAAUUAUGGAGCUAAUUAUCUUUAGGUAAGAGGAGUAAAAUUAGAAAAAAUGAAGAAUCAACCACAUAAAUAUGUGAGUUUUUUUUUUAAAAAAAAGACCUACACAUGACUAUGUAUUAAAAAAAGUAGAAGUAUAUAUUUAUUUGUGAAAUAAAUAGAUACUCUUCCUAAUUUCUUAUAUUAGGAAAAACUUUACCAACCAUAAAUACGUACUUACCUUAAAUUUUACUAGUCUAAAUAAUCCAAAUCUGAAUUUGAUGAAGUCCAAAGUUGUCUUGAAAUCAAUAAAACCCAAGGAAGUUACACUCAAUUAGUAAGGACAUAACAAAAUUACUAACUAAAUAAUAUAUAUAUAUAUAUAUAUAUAUAUAUAUAUAUAUAUAUAUAUAGUAAAAAUAAGAAAGAUACAAUAUAUAUGCAUUUUCAUAAUAACAAACUUUAAAACUCUAACAAUGUAAUGUAAAAUUGAAUAAAUUUUGAAUUUGUAGGGAAGUAUAAAGGACAGGUGGUGGCAAAGGAAAGGGAGGGGAGAGCUCGGUGGGUCAUAAAAUAAAAGAUGAAACUGUUAACUCAAAAGAAAGAAAGAGCAAAAUUACAUUUUUUGCAAAAUAAUAAACUCAUAAAAAGCUCAAUUUCUCAAAUUUUCUUUCAUUGUCUCCUACCUAAGGCAUUCCACAUUUGCAAUGAUAGAAGAAUCAAAUAGAUAUGAAAUUACAAAUAUUUAUACUAAAUUCAAAUAUUAGAAAAAAAACACAAUUACCUUUUGCAAGUCUCAUAACCCUAAAUAUAACCUUCCCUACCAAGUCCUCGAGUAUAUGCAUGCAUACAAAUAUAGCUAGAAAGUGUUCACACAUACUUGUCAUGCAUCUUCAAAUCACUUCUAUGGAUGCAAUCAUGCAUGAUUGCCCCACUCACGAUCAUGAAACUAAAUAUUUAAAAUAUUCAAUUAAUUAAUUAUUGUUAAAGUUUAAAUUAAAAUCAAUAAAUUCAUUCCUAAAUGUCCCAACAACAACUCAAAUAUAAAACAAAACUUUAUUAACUACUACACAAGAGUUUCUUCUUUUCUACCAAAAAAAAAAAAAAAGACAUGUAAAUAAGAAAUUUCACUACUUAGAAACAAAUAAAUCAUGUCAAGUUUAAUCUUAUUCAUGAUUAGGAGAAUUUUAAAACAUAUAAAAAUCCUAGUAAAAGCACAAAUAGAUUUUGUUACUCUCAUUUUUUUAGUUUAGAUACAACAUUAAUUAAUUAUUAUACAUUUUAUACUAACCAUAUUAAUUAGGGGGUAAUGUGAAAAAAAUGAUAAUAUAUAAAUAUUUUUACCAUUUUAAGAUUAUUUUAAACCAUUUCUAAACAACCAAACAAUUCUUUAAUUGUGUUAACCAUAAAUACAUCCAUAGUGAGUAGCAAUCUCGGAUGUUAUAUCUUUUGAAGCUAAGUCCCUAUUUUCUCUUAAAGUUUUAGAAUUCAAAUCAUAGUUUUAAUUCAAAAAAUCUAUUACAAAAACUAAGUUCAAGCAAUUGAAGCAAGAAAGGUCAUAAUUAAUACACAUGUAUGGUGUUUCACUUUAAAAAAGGUGACCCUUAUAAAAGAAAAUGCUAUGAAUUUUCCUUAUAUUUAUGUGGAGAGAAGUGUAGAGGACACUUAGUUUAUUAUUCUAUAUGGUGCACCCAACACGUUCUUCAAAGAAAAUGAUUCAAUUCAAGAAGGGUAGAUUUACAGCACAUAAGAGAGAAACAUGGGCAACCUAAUGACAUCAUUUUAUCUUUCUGCCUAUUAAAAGUAGUCAAUAAAAUACAUAUUUCUCCUUUUAUAGUGUACCCAUUGGGAACAAGUUUUACCUAAUAUAAGCAGAGGCAAAGAGAAAACUUCAGUCCAAGUGUAAUUCACCAUGCCUUUCAAACUGUUACACCAUGCCUUUCAAACAGAAAUAGUUUAAAAUAAACCAAGUGCACCAAAGAAAAUGAAUUGCAUCACUUUAAAAAUUUGAUAAAACUUUUUAAGAAUGGGUACUUAAUUAACAAUGACAAAAAACUUCAAUUUUUUGUCAAAAAUAUUUAAAAAAAAUAUAUAAUCAAAUUUUUUUAGCUUUAAAUUACUAUUUAUGGUUCUUAUAAGUGAAUGAAAGUUUAUUUUGAUUCUUAUUUUACUAUAUUAAAUAUCUAAAAUAAAGGAAUUUAGUUUUAAAGAAAUUAAAUUUCAACAUAAAUAGUUAAAAAUAAAUUUUAGUUUAAUAUAAUUCUAAUAAACUCCUUUCUAAAAACUGAAUUACCAUAAGUAGACUUGUCUAUUUAUUACCAUAAAAUCCCUUCUCAAAAAUAAUUGUCACAAACAAAUUAAUCACCAAAGAAAUGAGAAGGACAACAGGAGGCUCACUUGAAUACCAUUUAAGUGCCUCUUGAACCUGAACUUUGAGGGUCAAUAUUCCUUGACUGUACCAAAACAGAAUGCAAAAAUACAUUGUGAGCCAUUAUAACACAACUAACAACUCCUACUACAUGUCAAAUUAUUUUUGAGCUAAGGUUUGGUACCACAACACCUAAAAAUAGGUUCAUAGUCAAAGUCAGUUUAUUCAGGAUGCAACUUAAGAAAAUAUUUCAUAAAAACAUGGGGAAAAACACUUCAUAUAAAAAAUGAAUUUCUUGGUUAUCAAAAGCUCAUUUCCAAUGGGUUUAAGUGUUAUGGAACAUCCAAAUGAAUGAAAGGGCCAUUGUUGCAAUAACAACUACAAAAACAACUUCCAACUUCCUCGCCCAAUAGUUCUCAAGAAACAAAAGGAUAAAAUUUUUCAUAAUAAAAGAAUCAAAGAAAGCCCUAUUAAAUAAUCAAGAAACAAAAAUACUUACCAAUCUUCAACUCCAGCCCAAAGCAACAUAAACCUGUAGCUAGGAAUCACCUCUUGGAUUUAUCCUCGAUGACAGCCAACUCCACCAUGAACCACAACAGUCCAACCCAUGUGACACUCUUUCCUACAAAUCUAUGCAAAAUGAUGCCCUAUGGCCACCCCAACCCUUCCUUAUAGUAGUUGGAUCAAGAACCCCAUAUCCGUUACCCAUGAUAACUGGAUUAAGAACCCCAUAUCCGUUACCCAUGAUAACUGGAUUAAGAACCCCGUAACUCCAGAUCUGGGCAAAAUGAUGCCCUAUGCCCACCUCAAGCCUCUCCCACAAUAGCUGGAUCAAGAACCCCAUAUUUGUCACCCACAAUAACUAGAUUAAGAACCUCAUAACUCAAAUACAUGUUUUUCAUGCCACUUGGGUCACUAGAGAUUGACAGAUAUUAAUCGAUUUGCAAUAAUAAAAAAAAAAAUCUUCAAUCUGGGGUGAACUACAUGGGUAACCCGAUAAGUUUCCUAAAUAGGGUUUGUCAAAGUUAGAGUUUAGGAAUGAAGAAGGAUAGGGGAAGGAUGUGUGAUGAUGCCCACUGGUAAAUCUCCUACAACUCCCCAUCUAGUCUUGCUCACGGGUUGAUUUUGGAUGAGCAUUUGGGAAGAGAGAGAGAGAGGGGGGGGGGGUUUGAAAUGGUGGAGGAAAUGUUUAGUGGGUGAGAGAUCGUGGAGGGG
rnacentral:lncRNA from 1 species